rnacentral:rRNA from 1 species
GGGUUGUGAGGUUAAGCGACUAAGCGUACACGGUGGAUGCCCUGGCAGUCAGAGGCGAUGAAGGGCGUGCUAAUCUGCGAUAAGCGCCGGUAAGGUGAUAUGAACCGUUAUAACCGGCGAUACCCGAAUGGGGAAACCCAGUGUGACUCGUCACACUAUCAUUAACUGAAUCCAUAGGUUAAUGAGGCGAACCGGGGGAACUGAAACAUCUAAGUACCCCGAGGAAAAGAAAUCAACCGAGAUUCCCCCAGUAGCGGCGAGCGAACGGGGAGGAGCCCAGAGCCUGAAUCAGCAUGUGUGUUAGUGGAAGCGUCUGGAAAGGCGCGCGAUACAGGGUGACAGCCCCGUACACAAAAGCGCAUGUGCUGUGAGCUCGAUGAGUAGGGCGGGACACGUGGUAUCCUGUCUGAAUAUGGGGGACCAUCCUCCAAGGCUAAAUACUCCUGACUGACCGAUAGUGAACCAGUACCGUGAGGGAAAGGCGAAAAGAACCCCGGCGAGGGGAGUGAAAAAGAACCUGAAACCGUGUACGUACAAGCAGUGGGAGCACAGGUUUACCUGUGUGACUGCGUACCUUUUGUAUAAUGGGUCAGCGACUUAUAUUCUGUAGCAAGGUUAACCGAAUAGGGGAGCCGGAGGGAAACCGAGUCUUAACCGGGCGUUAAGUUGCAGGGUAUAGACCCGAAACCCGGUGAUCUAGCCAUGGGCAGGUUGAAGGUUGGGUAACACUAACUGGAGGACCGAACCGACUAAUGUUGAAAAAUUAGCGGAUGACCUGUGGCUGGGGGUGAAAGGCCAAUCAAACCGGGAGAUAGCUGGUUCUCCCCGAAAGCUAUUUAGGUAGCGCCUCGUGAAUUCAUCUCCGGGGGUAGAGCACUGUUUCGGCUAGGGGGCCAUCCCGGCUUACCAACCCGAUGCAAACUGCGAAUACCGGAGAAUGUUAUCACGGGAGACACACGGCGGGUGCUAACGUCCGUCGUGAAGAGGGAAACAACCCAGACCGCCAGCUAAGGUCCCAAAGUCAUGGUUAAGUGGGAAACGAUGUGGGAAGGCCCAGACAGCCAGGAUGUUGGCUUAGAAGCAGCCAUCAUUUAAAGAAAGCGUAAUAGCUCACUGGUCGAGUCGGCCUGCGCGGAAGAUGUAACGGGGCUAAACCAUGCACCGAAGCUGCGGCAGCGAACGUAUCACCCAAGACAACUUUACGGAGUUGACGAUUGACGGAGCGAAGCGACGUCAAAGCGUUCAUUAAAGUCGAGUUGGCUUAGGGAUACGUUCGUUGGGUAGGGGAGCGUUCUGUAAGCCUGUGAAGGUGGCCUGUGAGGGUUGCUGGAGGUAUCAGAAGUGCGAAUGCUGACAUAAGUAACGAUAAAGCGGGUGAAAAGCCCGCUCGCCGGAAGACCAAGGGUUCCUGUCCAACGUUAAUCGGGGCAGGGUGAGUCGACCCCUAAGGCGAGGCCGAAAGGCGUAGUCGAUGGGAAACGGGUUAAUAUUCCCGUACUUGGUGUUACUGCGAAGGGGGGACGGAGAAGGCUAUGUUGGCCGGGCGACGGUUGUCCCGGUUUAAGCGUGUAGGUGUGUGUUCCAGGUAAAUCCGGUUCACUUUAACACUGAGGCGUGAUGACGAGGCACUACGGUGCUGAAGCAACAAAUGCCCUGCUUCCAGGAAAAGCCUCUAAGCAUCAGGUAACAUCAAAUCGUACCCCAAACCGACACAGGUGGUCAGGUAGAGAAUACCAAGGCGCUUGAGAGAACUCGGGUGAAGGAACUAGGCAAAAUGGUGCCGUAACUUCGGGAGAAGGCACGCUGAUAGGUAGGUGAAGCGGUUUACCCGUGGAGCUGAAAUCAGUCGAAGAUACCAGCUGGCUGCAACUGUUUAUUAAAAACACAGCACUGUGCAAACACGAAAGUGGACGUAUACGGUGUGACGCCUGCCCGGUGCCGGAAGGUUAAUUGAUGGGGUUAUCCGUAAGGAGAAGCUCCUGAUCGAAGCCCCGGUAAACGGCGGCCGUAACUAUAACGGUCCUAAGGUAGCGAAAUUCCUUGUCGGGUAAGUUCCGACCUGCACGAAUGGCGUAAUGAUGGCCAGGCUGUCUCCACCCGAGACUCAGUGAAAUUGAACUCGCUGUGAAGAUGCAGUGUACCCGCGGCAAGACGGAAAGACCCCGUGAACCUUUACUAUAGCUUGACACUGAACAUUGAGCCUUGAUGUGUAGGAUAGGUGGGAGGCUUUGAAGCGUGGACGCCAGUCUGCGUGGAGCCGACCUUGAAAUACCACCCUUUAAUGUUUGAUGUUCUAACGUGGACCCGUUAGCCGGGUUGCGGACAGUGUCUGGUGGGUAGUUUGACUGGGGCGGUCUCCUCCUAAAGAGUAACGGAGGAGCACGAAGGUUGGCUAAUCCUGGUCGGACAUCAGGAGGUUAGUGCAAUGGCAUAAGCCAGCUUGACUGCGAGCGUGACGGCGCGAGCAGGUGCGAAAGCAGGUCAUAGUGAUCCGGUGGUUCUGAAUGGAAGGGCCAUCGCUCAACGGAUAAAAGGUACUCCGGGGAUAACAGGCUGAUACCGCCCAAGAGUUCAUAUCGACGGCGGUGUUUGGCACCUCGAUGUCGGCUCAUCACAUCCUGGGGCUGAAGUAGGUCCCAAGGGUAUGGCUGUUCGCCAUUUAAAGUGGUACGCGAGCUGGGUUUAGAACGUCGUGAGACAGUUCGGUCCCUAUCUGCCGUGGGCGCUGGAGAACUGAGGGGGGCUGCUCCUAGUACGAGAGGACCGGAGUGGACGCAUCACUGGUGUUCGGGUUGUCAUGCCAAUGGCACUGCCCGGUAGCUAAAUGCGGAAGAGAUAAGUGCUGAAAGCAUCUAAGCACGAAACUUGCCCCGAGAUGAGUUCUCCCUGAGACUUUAAGUCUCCUGAAGGAACGUUGAAGACGACGACGUUGAUAGGCCGGGUGUGUAAGCGCAGCGAUGCGUUGAGCUAACCGGUACUAAUGAACCGUGAGGCUUAACCUUACAACGCCGAAG